rnacentral:rRNA from 1 species
GYGGGGGAUAACGUAGGGAAACUUACGCUAAUACCGCAUACGACCUACGGGUGAAAGCAGGGGAUCUUCGGACCUUGCGCGAUUGAAUGAGCCGAUGUCGGAUUAGCUAGUUGGCGGGGUAAAGGCCCACCAAGGCGACGAUCCGUAGCUGGUCUGAGAGGAUGAUCAGCCACACUGGAACUGAGACACGGUCCAGACUCCUACGGGAGGCAGCAGUGGGGAAUAUUGGACAAUGGGCGCAAGCCUGAUCCAGCCAUACCGCGUGGGUGAAGAAGGCCUUCGGGUUGUAAAGCCCUUUUGUUGGGAAAGAAAUCCAGCCGGCUAAUACCUGGUUGGGAUGACGGUACCCAAAGAAUAAGCACCGGCUAACUUCGUGCCAGCAGCCGCGGUAAUACGAAGGGUGCAAGCGUUACUCGGAAUUACUGGGCGUAAAGCGUGCGUAGGUGGUCGUUUAAGUCCGUUGUGAAAGCCCUGGGCUCAACCUGGGAACUGCAGUGGAUACUGGGCGACUAGAGUGUGGUAGAGGGUAGCGGAAUUCCUGGUGUAGCAGUGAAAUGCGUAGAGAUCAGGAGGAACAUCCAUGGCGAAGCAGCUACCUGGACCAACACUGACACUGAGCACGAAAGCRYGGGGAGC